GCAGUCGUAGCUCAGCUGGUUAGAGCACCGCCCUGUCACGGCGGGGGUCGUGGGUUCAAAUCCCAUCGACUGCGCAA
rnacentral:tRNA from 1 species